CCCUUGGCCUUGACAUACUAAGAACUUUCCAGAGAUGGAUUGGUGCCUUUCGGGAACUUAGAUACAGGUGCUGCAUGGCUGUCGUCAGCUCGUGUCGUGAGAUGUUGGGUUAAGUCCCGCAACGAGCGCAACCCUUUUUCCUUAUUUGCCAGCGGGUAAUGCCGGGAACUUUAAGGAUACUGCCAGUGACAAACUGGAGGAAGGCGGGGACGACGUCAAGUCAUCAUGGCCCUUACGGCCAGGGCUACACACGUGCUACAAUGGUCGGUACAAAGGGUUGCUACCUCGCGAGAGGAUGCUAAUCUCAAAAAGCCGAUCGUAGUCCGGAUCGCAGUCUGCAACUCGACUGCGUGAAGUCGGAAUCGCUAGUAAUCGCGGAUCAGAAUGCCGCGGUGAAUACGUUCCCGGGCCUUGUACACACCGCCCGUCACACCAUGGGAGUUUGUUGCACCAGAAGUAGGUAGUCUAACCGCAAGGAGGACGCUUACCACGGUGUGGCCGAUGACUGGGGUGAAGUCGUAACAAGGUAAGCGUAGAUGA
rnacentral:rRNA from 1 species